rnacentral:rRNA from 1 species
UACAGAGGUCCCGAGCGUUGUUCGGAUUCAUUGGGCGUAAAGGGUGCGUAGGUGGCGCUGUAAGUCGGGUGUGAAAUUUCGGAGCUUAACUCCGAAACUGCAUUCGAUACUGCGGUGCUUGAGGACUGGAGAGGAGACUGGAAUUCAUGGUGUAGCAGUGAAAUGCGUAGAGAUCAUGAGGAAGGCCAGUGGCGAAGGCGGGUCUCUGGACAGUUCCUGACGCUGAGGCACGAAGGCCAGGGGAGCAAACGGG